GCCGGGCGUGGUGGCGCACGCCUUUAAUCCCAGCACUCGGGAGGCAGAGGCAGAGGCAGGCGGAUUUCUGAGUUCGAGGCCAGCCUGGUCUACAAAGUGAGUUCCAGGACAGCCAGGGCUAAACAGAGAAACCCUGUCUCGAAAAAACAAACAAACAAACAAAAAAAGAAAUGAAAAUUUCAAGUUUAAGGUCAGCUUUAGCUAAACAGUAAGACUGUCUUUGUUGUUUUGAAACAGUUUCUCUGUGUGGUCCUGGCUGUUCUGGAACUCACUCUGUAGACCAGGAUGGCCUCUAACACAGAGAUCUGCCUGCCUCUGCCU
rnacentral:lncRNA from 1 species